AUUGAACGCUGGCGGCAGGCCUAACACAUGCAAGUCGAACGGUAACAGGAAGAAGCUUGCUUCUUUGCUGACGAGUGGCGGACGGGUGAGUAAUGUCUGGGAAACUGCCUGAUGGAGGGGGAUAACUACUGGAAACGGUAGCUAAUACCGCAUAACGUCGCAAGACCAAAGAGGGGGACCUUCGGGCCUCUUGCCAUCGGAUGUGCCCAGAUGGGAUUAGCUAGUAGGUGGGGUAACGGCUCACCUAGGCGACGAUCCCUAGCUGGUCUGAGAGGAUGACCAGCCACACUGGAACUGAGACACGGUCCAGACUCCUACGGGAGGCAGCAGUGGGGAAUAUUGCACAAUGGGCGCAAGCCUGAUGCAGCCAUGCCGCGUGUAUGAAGAAGGCCUUCGGGUUGUAAAGUACUUUCAGCGGGGAGGAAGGGAGUAAAGUUAAUACCUGUACUCAUUGACGUUACCCGCAGAAGAAGCACCGGCUAACUCCGG
rnacentral:rRNA from 1 species